GGGCCCGCACAAGCGGUGGAGCAUGUGGUUCAAUUCGACGCAACGCGAAGAACCUUACCUGGGUUGGAACCCUCCAGAAGUCCGCAGAGAUGUGGAUGUGCUCGCAAGAGAACUGGAUGUCCAGGUGCUGCAUGGCUGUCGUCAGCUCGUGUCGUGAGAUGUUGGGUUAAGUCCCGCAACGAGCGCAACCCUUGUCGUUAGUUGCUAACAGUUCGGCUGAGCACUCUAACGAGACUGCCGGUGUUAAACCGGAGGAAGGUGGGGAUGACGUCAAGUCCUCAUGGCCCUUAUGCCCAGGGCUACACACGUGCUACAAUGGUGGUUACAAAGCGUCGCUAACCCGCGAGGGGGAGCCAAUCGCAAAAAAGCCACCUCAGUUCAGAUUGCAGUCUGCAACUCGACUGCAUGAAGUUGGAAUCGCUAGUAAUCCCUGAUCAGCAGGCAGGGUGAAUACGUUCCCGGGCCUUGUACACACCGCCCGUCACACCAUGGGAGUCAGUUGCUCCAGAAGUGGCCGCGCCAACCGCAAGGAGGCAGGUCCCUAAGGAGUGACUGGUGACUGGGGUGAAGUCGUAACAAGGUAGCCGUAGGGGAACCUGCGGCU
rnacentral:rRNA from 1 species